AAGAUAAUAUGUAACAGUAUUAUUGGGAAUAAGAUUACCACUUCUCUUUCACCUAAACCAACUACUUCAGAUUUAUCAUUAUCAGAAGAUGUUCCAAAACCAAAAAAUAUCGUAGAAAAUAUUUCAUCGAGAAAAAGGAAUCGAGAGAACAAUGAGUCUAAGACGAUACUAGGUGAGCAACUUUGACUUUUUUUGUCAAAAUCAGCUUCAGAUAAAUGUAUAUUACAACGAGCAAAACAAAGCCCUUGUUUGAGACAGGAUAAAGACAGGAACAAAUUAACAGAAAUUAUUAUUGAAGACGAAUGGAGCAGAUGUGAUAAGAUUUCAAGUACAAGUUUCGCUGAACUUGUACAUGCAAUACAAAAAAAAUUUCCUGAAGAAGACAGUGAAUUAUAUUUCAUUCUAUACAGAAACUAUGAUGGAAAAAAAUUUUUAGCCAAAGGAAAAUUAGUAACAAAGUACUAUUCGAAAAGAAUUAAAAGCACUUGAUGUCAUUAGACAAAACUAAGAACAAUCUGAUUCUGAAGAUGAUUUAGGGGUGAAUGAUAGUUUACAGGCCAAGCUUAAUUUCUUUCAAGAAAAUAUAAAGGCCUACAAUAGUAGAGUAUUGGAGUGAGACUUCUAAACAUAGAGUUACAGAAUUACAUGUCAAAUCUCGAGAUGUAAAGAGAAAUAAAGGAAGUGGUAAAGGAAAAACCAGUACUAAAGACCAGUUAAAAAACAGUACAAUUCUAAAAACUACACAGGCAGGACAGGAAGAACAAGAUUUGGAAAAUGUUUCAACUUACAUGAACAAAUAUCUAGCUCUCAGAGAAAAAUUUGGAUACACUUUGGUUGUUGUUAAGGUACUUUAUU